rnacentral:rRNA from 1 species
GAGAUACCAAAGGAGCAAUCCGCUGAAAGAUGGGCUCACGUCUGAUUAGCUAGUUGGUGGGGUAACGGCUCACCAAGGCUGCGAUCAGUAGCCGGACUGAGAGGUUGAACGGCCACAUUGGGACUGAGAUACGGCCCAGACUCCUACGGGAGGCAGCAGUGGGGAAUAUUGGGCAAUGGGCGAAAGCCUGACCCAGCAACGCCGCGUGAAGGAAGAAGGUCUUCGGAUUGUAAACUUCUUUUAUGAGGGACGAAGGACGUGACGGUACCUCAUGAAUAAGCCACGGCUAACUACGUGCCAGCAGCCGCGGUAAUACGUAGGUGGCAAGCGUUAUCCGGAUUUACUGGGUGUAAAGGGCGCGUAGGCGGGGAUGCAAGUCAGAUGUGAAAUCUAUGGGCUUAACCCAUAAACUGCAUUUGAAACUGUAUCUCUUGAGUGCUGGAGAGGUAGACGGAAUUCCUUGUGUAGCGGUGAAAUGCGUAGAUAUAAGGAAGAACACCAGUGGCGAAGGCGGUCUACUGGACAGUAACUGACGCUGAGGCGCGAAAGCGUGGGGAGCAAACAGGAUUAGAUACCCUGG